AGAUGGACAGUUCAUGACUGUUAGAGACGAGGAAGGGGCCUUUCCACCCUCCUUCACCGCCCGUAAUAAAUUGGGGCAGAUGAGGGGACAUUGGAUAGAAUAUCCAUUUUGUGUACUUAUUUUGAUGCAAUUGACAGAUCGUCCUUGUGCUUGUUCAAACGCAUAGCCCAGAAAUGAAUGCACCACCUUCACAAGAGAUGUCAUAUUAUGAUCAUGUCAAGAAACGCCAUGAAAACAAAGGCUGCCUUUAUGCCUUUUUGUUCACUCUGUGCUGCUGCUGUUGCUGCUACGAGGCCUGCGAGUGCUGUGUGGAGUGCUGCUGCUGCGCUGCUUGAAGAAAUGGUUGAACUGGGAAAGAAAAAGGAAGGUUUCUUUGUUUAAUUAUUAUCAUUCGUGAAUUGAUAUUGAAGAAUUCCUCUCAAAAGCUGAAAAUUGUCCAGUCAUAAGUUAUUCUACUUUUAUUAAUGUAAAGUUCUUUGUUUGUUAGAUUUCAUCUGUUUGAGAUAGUUUGUGCUCCUUGCAUUGUUGAUGUUACGUUUGCAAGAAAUAAGAUCUUUUUUGGGUGAUAGUGCUCCUUUGCACUGAUUUGUGUCAAAAGAAGAUCUGCCCCUUUGAUGGACAGAAUCUGCUUUAGUUUUCUGGUCAA